UCUCCUGCUUAACACAUGUCUUAUUCUAUCAAUCCAUGAGACAUUAAACUCCAAAUAGGAUAGACUUGUCUUAUGAAACGUUCUUGAGAUCGUUCACUAACGUCGUUUCGCCGGAGGAUAUUGCGGCUAUUGGUUUGGGAGAUGUAGAGAGUGUUUGAGCAUUUCGAUUGUUGGUGGUGGUAGCCUGUAGAUAGGUGAAGGGCUACGCGUUCUCGGUUUGCAGCCUCGUGGCCGGUCGGCGACGAAAUAAACCGGCAAAGAGGGCCCACUCGUGCUUCUGUUCUAAUUUCAGCGAGAGAACAGGGGGCUUUUCUCAGCGUUUCCCUUUCUGUUCCACGGAUUUCUCGGCUGAUUGUGCGAGGAUGGCGGCGACGACGGUGGCCGGCGGAGCUCUAUUGGCGAGUUUGGAGUGGCGACGUGAUUAAGCAGAACAGCUGCUAUCCUGCUUUAACGGUUGCUGUUAAGAUAUGAUCGGAGAGGGAGCUUGGAGCUGGAAAAGGAGGGAGGGAUGGUGGUGUUCCAAGGUGAUGGCGCGAAUAGGCGAGGCGGCGGCGCGACGGGGGCGGCGCGCGGCUACUGCUCUCGUGUUCUGCUGACAGCAGCUGCUACGACUCCCAGCUCCUGCUGCUGCUCGGCUGCUGCUGUCUUGAAGGAGCUGCUGUUGUGCCGGCAAGAGGCGGCUGAUGGUGAUCGGCGAGUUCGACAGCAGCGGUGGAAGUUGGCGGCGGCGGCUGGAGCUUGGCGAUGGAGAGAGUUUGAGCGAGAGAGAGCUGAGCGAGAGUGAGAGAUAGAGGAACAAAAUAAAUUUGAAAGCAAGAAAAAAUCGAGAGAGA